rnacentral:rRNA from 1 species
UACAGAGGCCUCGAGCGUUAGGCGGAAUCACUGGGCUUAAAGCGUGUGUAGGCGGAUUGGUAAGUACCUUGUGAAAUCCCACGGCUUAACCGUGGAACUGCUUGGUAUACUGCUUAUCUUGGGCCACUUAGGGGCUACCGGAACAAACGGUGGAGCGGUGAAAUGCGCAGAUAUCUGGAGGAAUACCGGUGGCGAAGGCGGCAUCCUGGACUGGUCCUGACACUCGAGGAGCGAAAGCGUGGGGAGCGAUCCGG